UUCACAUUUUUCCCACCUUGAUGGCUGGAGCUGUAGGAGCCAUCUUGUGAACAUGAAGCAAUAGGCAUUAGAAAGAAAAAGGUAACAUGCUCAGGGUGGCAGAAAGCUAGACAGAGCCUUUCUCCUUUUUACAGAUUGUUCAGAAGGUCCCUGAUGAGUCCCUCCCUGCAUCCAAAAAAAAAAAUCCCUCUAGAACAGGAUAGGCCACUCCCUCAUCAACAGUGGUGUCCAUUUCUCUACAUCCUUGGAGCAAGGCUUCUCUUUUGCUUAGCUUUGAGCAGAACAUAGAGAAAGAUACAUUCUGAGACUCCUGCAAACAGAGCUUAACAAGCCUUGUAGUUUUACUACUCCCUACGGGAGACAUCCAGCCACCACGGAAAAAGGUCUGAGAAGAGAGCAACCACAGAUGAAAGAACAAGGUCGCAGACACAAAAGUGAGGAGAGCCAGUGUCACAGGAAGAGAAAAGACCAUCAUCACCCCUGCCAGUCCCUGUCCAUGGGAGUGACUCCAACUGGGAUGUCAAGUGCACCAAUGGGCCCAGGUUGGAUCCCCAACCCCAGUCAACGCCAUGUGGAGAACUGAGCCCUGCCUAAAUUCCCAACCUGCAGAAUUGUGACAAGUAAAUUGAUGGUUCUCUUGGGUCUCUUACAUUUUAGAGUGAUUUCUUACACAGCAACAGAAAACUAGCUGACAUAGGAACCCAUGAAGUAGCCAAACACUGUCCCAGGCCACACUGAAAUGCUUUCCCCAGGGCUGUUCCCAUGAGAUGGCCCAAUGUCUGCAAGAUAAACUGAUCUGCAGCAUCCAGGCAGAAGGAGACCCUCUGGCCCAUGGCUUCACAGCUGUCCGUCUUGCCUGCCUGCUGCACCACCAGCCGCCAUGUGCGGCCCGAGGCCUCCAUGUGCACCUCCGCACUCAGCUGCUUCUCGUCCUCGCACCUCAUCACCUCAGUCUGUGGCUGGGACACCUUGCAGCUCAGCGUGGCAUUGGCCCCCGCCUCAGCCUGCACCUCCCUGCGAGCUGGCUGAUGUUUGGCAAACCCUACCGUGGGCACUGGGGAGAGACAGGGAGGGGUGCACAGGCAGGGACCCUGCCACAUUAGGUGUGCAAAUCCUACUUCUUUGCUAACAGGCUCUGGAUCCUAGACAACCAAGGCUCUGCCACAGGGAUCCUCCAUGGACCAGGUGUCCAGGUGUGGUCAAGCACGGGGGCACGAUGCCCGGCCUCUCCCAGGCAAGGACCAGGAGGGUGGCACAACAUGCCUCUGAGAAAUUGCCAAGAUGAACUGGUAGCCUGGCACACUUUCUCUCUCUUUCCCCAACCUCCCUCCGGUCCACAAGGAACCAACUAGAGCAGACAGCACGGUAUUUUCUGCUUUGUGUAUGAAUCAGCCAUUUGACUGCGGGAUGCUGCUCUCAGUGAUGUUAGCCAUGAACUUGAGCUGCCCCCCAUGAAGGCUGACCAGCACCUCCCAGGUGGUGAGCAAGUGCUGGGUGUGGUCCCAGCAGAUCACAUCCACAGUGCUGGCCACAGGGCCUGCCCAUCCAGGAACCACUUACCUGCUGAGGCCACCAUGAGGUACACGGAGAAGGUGAUAUUGCCAUCCUUCACCACCUCCACCUCCUUCAGGGGCAUCCUCAUGGCCAGCUGGUGGGCUGCAGAGGAGGUGGCGUCAAGCAGGAGCCAUGGCCAGGGAGCAGGUUUUUAUGAUUCUGAGACCCAUAAUGGAUUCUGACACGUCAAAUGAAGGCAGCAUCGUUUUGAAACGUAAAAACGUUACUUCAAAAAGGAGGAGGGAAAUAAUUUUAUCGUCGGAUUCAGAAGCAGAAGAAUUAAAGAGGAAAAAAGAAAAUUCUGUAAUGAAUACGUGGUCGUGUGAAAACUUGUAUCCACACAUAUACACAUUUGUUGAUGAAGACAGUGGAAUUAAAGCAGAAAAUAUUAAUGAUUCA